UCUGGUUGAUCCUGCCAGUAGUCAUAUGCUUGUCUCAAAGAUUAAGCCAUGCAUGUCUAAGUAUAAAUAGUAUACAGUGAAACUGCGAAUGGCUCAUUAAAACAGUUAUAGUUUAUUUGAUAAUUGACAAUUACAUGGAUAACCGUGGUAAUUCUAGAGCUAAUACAUGCUUAAACGCCCGACUUUAUGGAAGGGUGGUAUUUAUUAGACUGAAGCCAAUAUUCCUUGUGUCUAUUGCGGUGAUUCAUAAUAACUGAUCGAAUCUCUUUUUGAGAUAAAUCAUUCAAGUUUCUGCCCUAUCAGCUUUCGAUGGUAGUGUAUUGGACUACCAUGGCAGUAACGGGUAACGAAGAAUUAGGGUUCGAUUUCGGAGAGGGAGCAUGAGAAACGGCUACCACAUCUAAGGAAGGCAGCAGGCGCGUAAAUUACCCAAUCCUGACUCAGGGAGGUAGUGACAAGAAAUAGCAAACCGGGAACCUCAUGGUUUCACGGUAUUGCAAUGAGAACAAUUUAAAACCCUUAGCGAGAAUCAAGUGGAGGACAAGUCUGGUGCCAGCACCCGCGGUAAUUCCAGCUCCACUAGCGUAUAUUAAAGUUGUUGCAGUUAAAAAGCUCGUAGUUGAACCUCUGUCUGGGGCUAGUUUUGGCUUUGGUCAGGCUAGUUCUAGGCAUCCGCCUACAAGACUUAGAGGGCAUUCAGUUGUUCACUAGGAGGAGUAGGCAUUUUACUUUGAAAAAAUUAGAGUGUUUAAGGCAGGCAAUCGCCCGCAUAUAUUAGCAUGGAAUAAUAGAAUAGGACACUUUUCCAUUUCGUUGGUUAUUGGAAUCGUGUAAUGAUUAAUAGGGACAGUUGUGGGCAUUUGUAUUUAAUUGUCAGAGGUGAAAUUCUUGGAUUUAUUAAAGACAAACUAACGCGAAAGCAUUUGCCAAGGAUGUUUUCAUUAAUCAAGAACGAAAGUUAGGGGAUCAAAGACGAUCAGAUACCGUCCUAGUCUUAACUAUAAACUAUUCCGACUCAAUGUUUGACUGGCUUAUAUAACCAGUUGAGCGUUGUAUGAGAAAUCAAAGUCUUUAGGUUCUGGGGGGAGUAUGGUCGCAAAGCUGAAACUUAAAGGAAUUGACGGAAGAGCACAACCAGGAGUGGAUUCUGCGGCUUAAUUUGACUCAACACGGGGAAACUUACCAGGUUAAAACAAUAGUGGGAUUGACAGUUUGAGAGCGCUUUCUUGAUUGGUUGGGUGGUGGUGCAUGGCCGUUCUUAGUUGGUGGAGUGAUUUGUCUGCUUAAUUGC
rnacentral:rRNA from 1 species